rnacentral:lncRNA from 1 species
AGGGAUUAUACAAAACGUGCUAUAUUUUAGCCAAAAAAGACUGAAAAGAGGAAGUAUAGUAGUCUCAUGGUCAUUCCUUCAUUCUCAUUUUAGAAGUUGCACCUGCCAACCAAAUAUAUACAUGAUUGGUAAAAACUAAAGAGGCCCACCAAAUAAUGAAGUAAAUAUCCUCUCCAUUAUUGAUAGAAAGAUAAAUACUACACAAUCAUAUUUAUAUGCCAUAAAAUCACAUUUUUUCAUAAAAGAUAUAAGUAAAAACAAUCACUUACAUCUUUAUUAAUAGAGAGAAUCCUUGUUCCUAGUAAAAGGUUAGACUAUAUUCAAGCAUGUUAGUUUGGUAAACUGGAUAAGGCUUUAUAAUCAUUCACAUUCCUUUUCAUUUAUGCCAAGACCAUAAGAUUAGAGACUUUUCCCUUUACCUUUUCGUGGCCCUCAAAGGACGUGAACUAUUUGCAGCACUACCACUCUAUCAGCAUCCCUUUCUCUUUAGUGCUUUCCCUUCCAAUCACAGUUGCAGAGAGAAACAUAGUGUCAGAACUCAGAAGAACCUUGAGCAGCAAAGAUGGUGAGGCAAUGGAAAGAGACGAGAUUCACAGGAGAUGAAGGUAGUGGUGGCAGCAGCUAUGGUGAAGAGCUGAGAAGACUGGUUUUUGUGUUAUGGGCAGUUUUUGUGACCCUCUCGUUUUUAGUAGCUAUCAUAUUUUGUGCAGAUGGAAUGUCCAAAGAAAAAGGAGUGCCCAAAGAAAGAGCCUCGGGGGCUGAUAACUAUGGGCAUGGAUCCACAUGUGGGGCGGGCUGUGGUGGUGGCUGUGGUGGUUGAACUUGUGUGAAUUCCCUCGCCAUGGAUACAUCUCCAACAUCAAGGUAGCUAGCUAGAGAGUAUCCAUACAAAUUCAUGUUUGUUUGUUAACUAGUAUAGGAUGCUAUGGUUGUAGAAGAAGAAAAGUAGAAUUCUCAAAAUAGCAGAUCUUAUUGAGAACAGGAUAAUAAGAUGAUAUUAAAAUAUUAAGAUAUUGUAAUUCAAAAUUGAUUUAAUACGAUAGACAAUUAUUGUUUUUAUACUAUUUACACU